rnacentral:rRNA from 1 species
UCCAGACUCCUACGGGAGGCAGCAGUGGGGAAUAUUGGGCAAUGGAGGAAACUCUGACCCAGCAAUGCCGCGUGAAUGAAGAAGGUCUUCGGAUUGUAAAGUUCUUUAGUCAGGGAAGAAGUCAAUGACGGUACCUGAAGAAUAAGCACCGGCUAACUCCGUGCCAGCAGCCGCGGUAAUACGGAGGGUGCAAGCGUUACUCGGAAUCACUGGGCGUAAAGAGCGCGUAGGCGGGAUAGCAAGUCAGAUGUGAAAUCCUAUGGCUUAACCAUAGAACUGCAUUUGAAACUGUUAUUCUAGAGUAUGGGAGAGGUAGGUGGAAUUCUUGGUGUAGGGGUAAAAUCCGUAGAGAUCAAGAGGAAUACUCAUUGCGAAGGCGACCUGCUAGAACAUAACUGACGCUGAUGCGCGAAAGCGUGGGGAGCAAACAGGAUUAGAUACCCUUGUAU